GCAUUUCUGGGUCUCUACUGACSCUGAAGKGCSAAAGCAUAGGGAGCAAACAGGAUUARAUURAUCCGGCUCGGGCUCUMARWUGAAAAWSAGUGACAAGGUGUCCCCGGGGAUCCCSAGGUCAGAGYGUGCAUCCASCUAUUUCRGGGAAMCUYUGRKGWGAAUGUACCAUUUAACAUCAGACAAUCCCGAGGGAAGUGCUUUAAUCUCGGAUCAAGAGCACCCCGUAGAGACUAUGGAAAUAGGGAAAUAGAAGAUAUAAAGAAAAAUAGGCAAAGCUCAAGCUCCUAACCUGCACUUGAAGAGACUCAAGCAAAUAUCUUUGUCGGAUUUAAUGAAAUCAAUUAUCUUAGGAUAACUCCUAAGAGAUGGCAAGGUUCUCCGUUCGUUAUAGCCAAAUGAAGGAAAAUUACUUUCGGUGGAUGGAAAGUAGGCUUACUGCAUGAAAUCUUGGUACCAAGUUCCGUGCAGGGGCAAGCCGUCGAUGGCUUUGGCCAGAACAAGUGGCUACUGAUGACUUCGACAAAGAAUAUGUUAAGCUUUUAGCCCGAGACUUAGACACUUUUCGAAAGGAAGGUUUACGGGCCUAUCCGAAAAAAUUGAAAGUACGGUAAUUCAAGCCAAGAGUCUUACUGCCGCCUUUGGUCUGGUAUUGAGGAACUUAAGAGACUGUUUUGAAUGAUCUUACCACAUGUUCCCGUGGCGAGCAUGCCCAGGAAAGCCAUAUUAUUGGUUUACAAAGAUCCUGAAAUUCAACAACGCUGGAUCUCUGAAAUGAAGAAAGCUCUGCCUCUUUUUUCGAAGUGCAUUAACCAAUAGUUAGCCAAUAGAAAAGAAAGCAACUGCAAAGAUUGGAGUUCAGAGAAUGAUAUAGUCCAUUUUUGAAGAUAAUCAUCUCGUAGGGAUCGKGAWGGGAYUAUUUCUUUCCCAUCAUCACCUCGAGAAGCAGCUAAGCCAYUGWMCAAGGGCUCAAUGCWGGCGAAAAACUAUUUUCAAUAUG
rnacentral:rRNA from 1 species